GGGAAUGGAGCUCAUUGGUAGAGUGCUUGCUUAGCACGCAUGAAGCCCUGAGUUCAAUUCCUCAGCACCA
rnacentral:tRNA from 1 species